rnacentral:rRNA from 1 species
CUGCUGCCUCCCGUAGGAGUCUGGGCCGUGUCUCAGUCCCAGUGUGGCUGGUCGUCCUCUCAGACCAGCUACUGAUCGUUGCUUUGGUGAGCCGUUGCCUCACCAACCGGCUAAUCAGUCAUCGGCCGCUCCGCUCGCGAGAGGCCCUUGCGGGUCCCCCUCUUUCUUCCGUAGAACUCAUGCGGUAUUAGCCAACCUUUCGGCUGGUCGUCCCCCACGAGCGGACACGUUCCGAUGUAUUACUCACCCGUUCG